rnacentral:tRNA from 1 species
GCCCCCAUUGUCUAGCGGCCCAGGACGUGGCCCUCUCAAGGCCAAAACACCAGUUCGAAUCUGGUUGGGGGCA